rnacentral:rRNA from 1 species
AUUGAACGCUGGCGGCAUGCCUUACACAUGCAAGUCGAACGGUAGAGGGGCAACCCUUGAGAGUGGCGAACGGGUGAGUAAUGCAUCGGAACGUGCCCAGUCGUGGGGGAUAACGUAGCGAAAGCUACGCUAAUACCGCAUACGAUCUGCGGAUGAAAGCGGGGGACCUUCGGGCCUCGCGCGAUUGGAGCGGCCGAUGUCAGAUUAGCUAGUUGGUGGGGUAAAGGCCUACCAAGGCGACGAUCUGUAGCUGGUCUGAGAGGACGACCAGCCACACUGGGACUGGGACACGGCCCCGAAUCCUACGGGAGGCAGCAGUGGUGAAUUUUGGACAAUGGGCGCAAGCCUGAUCCAGCCAUGCCGCGUGCAGGAAGAAGGCCUUCGGGUUGUAAACUGCUUUUGUCAGGGAAGAAAUCUCCUGGGUUAAUACCUUGGGAGGAUGACGGUACCUGAAGAAUAAGCACCGGCUAACUACGUGCCAGCCGCCGCAGUAACAC